UUAAAUUGAAGAGUUUGAUCAUGGCUCAGAUUGAACGCUGGCGGCAGGCCUAACACAUGCAAGUCGAACGGUAACAGGAAGCAGCUUGCUGCUUUGCUGACGAGUGGCGGACGGGUGAGUAAUGUCUGGGAAACUGCCUGAUGGAGGGGGAUAACUACUGGAAACGGUGGCUAAUACCGCAUAACGUCGCAAGACCAAAGAGGGGGACCUUCGGGCCUCUUGCCAUCAGAUGUGCCCAGAUGGGAUUAGCUUGUUGGUGAGGUAACGGCUCACCAAGGCGACGAUCCCUAGCUGGUCUGAGAGGAUGACCAGCCACACUGGAACUGAGACACGGUCCAGACUCCUACGGGAGGCAGCAGUGGGGAAUAUUGCACAAUGGGCGCAAGCCUGAUGCAGCCAUGCCGCGUGUAUGAAGAAGGCCUUCGGGUUGUAAAGUACUUUCAGCGGGGAGGAAGGUGUUGUGGUUAAUAACCACAGCAAUUGACGUUACCCGCAGAAGAAGCACCGGCUAACUCCGUGCCAGCAGCCGCGGUAAUACGGAGGGUGCAAGCGUUAAUCGGAAUUACUGGGCGUAAAGCGCACGCAGGCGGUCUGUCAAGUCGGAUGUGAAAUCCCCGGGCUCAACCUGGGAACUGCAUUCGAAACUGGCAGGCUUGAGUCUUGUAGAGGGGGGUAGAAUUCCAGGUGUAGCGGUGAAAUGCGUAGAGAUCUGGAGGAAUACCGGUGGCGAAGGCGGCCCCCUGGACAAAGACUGACGCUCAGGUGCGAAAGCGUGGGGAGCAAACAGGAUUAGAUACCCUGGUAGUCCACGCCGUAAACGAUGUCUACUUGGAGGUUGUGCCCUUGAGGCGUGGCUUCCGGAGCUAACGCGUUAAGUAGACCGCCUGGGGAGUACGGCCGCAAGGUUAAAACUCAAAUGAAUUGACGGGGGCCCGCACAAGCGGUGGAGCAUGUGGUUUAAUUCGAUGCAACGCGAAGAACCUUACCUGGUCUUGACAUCCACGGAAGUUUUCAGAGAUGAGAAUGUGCCUUCGGGAACCGUGAGACAGGUGCUGCAUGGCUGUCGUCAGCUCGUGUUGUGAAAUGUUGGGUUAAGUCCCGCAACGAGCGCAACCCUUAUCCUUUGUUGCCAGCGAUUCGGUCGGGAACUCAAAGGAGACUGCCAGUGAUAAACUGGAGGAAGGUGGGGAUGACGUCAAGUCAUCAUGGCCCUUACGACCAGGGCUACACACGUGCUACAAUGGCGCAUACAAAGAGAAGCGACCUCGCGAGAGCAAGCGGACCUCAUAAAGUGCGUCGUAGUCCGGAUUGGAGUCUGCAACUCGACUCCGUGAAGUCGGAAUCGCUAGUAAUCGUGGAUCAGAAUGCCACGGUGAAUACGUUCCCGGGCCUUGUACACACCGCCCGUCACACCAUGGGAGUGGGUUGCAAAAGAAGUAGGUAGCUUAACCUUCGGGAGGGCGCUUACCACUUUGUGAUUCAUGACUGGGGUGAAGUCGUAACAAGGUAACCGUAGGGGAACCUGCGGUUGGAUCACCUCCUUACCUUAAAGAA
rnacentral:rRNA from 1 species